GACGAACGCUGGCGGCGUGCCUAAUACAUGCAAGUCGAACGCUUCUUUCCUCCCGAGUGCUUGCACUCAAUUGGAAAGAGGAGUGGCGGACGGGUGAGUAACACGUGGGUAACCUACCCAUCAGAGGGGGAUAACACUUGGAAACAGGUGCUAAUACCGCAUAACAGUUUAUGCCGCAUGGCAUAAGAGUGAAAGGCGCUUUCGGGUGUCGCUGAUGGAUGGACCCGCGGUGCAUUAGCUAGUUGGUGAGGUAACGGCUCACCAAGGCCACGAUGCAUAGCCGACCUGAGAGGGUGAUCGGCCACACUGGGACUGAGACACGGCCCAGACUCCUACGGGAGGCAGCAGUAGGGAAUUUUCGGCAAUGGACGAAAGUCUGACCGAGCAACGCCGCGUGAGUGAAGAAGGUUUGCGGAUCGUAAAACUCUGUUGUUAGAGAAGAACAAGGACGUUAGUAACGGAACGUCCCCUGACGGUAUCUAACCAGAAAGCCACGGCGAACUACGG
rnacentral:rRNA from 1 species